GAUACAUUUCAGACUCAAUAACACAUCUCAAUAAGGUUUGGUCUGCCUAAUUGCUGCCUCCUCUGAAGCCGUGCCCACUACCAUGGCCCCUGCUGUCUAAGCUCCAGCCUCUGAGGCCUCACUUCUGUUCUGCUGUCUGAAACCCUCUUUCUAAUUCUCCAAAAUGGCAGAUUAGAGAUGAUCACAAAUUCAUUGACAUUUCUCCAUCAACAGGUGGAAAUAUGUGUUCCCUCCCCUUGAAUCCGGACACGCUAUCUGACCAAUCAGGUCCAAGAGACAUAACACUCUGGUGUUUUGCGACCUUCAGCCACAGACUAGAAGCUACCAUCUUCUCUCUCUUUCUCUCUUUCCACCUGGAGCUGCCAUAUAAGAAGCCUGACUGCUUUGCUAGAGAGGAAAGAGUCUUCUUUGAAGCUCGUCUCCCCAUAUCUGGACUUUGUCAAGCAAUAUGGUCGGAAAAGGAUGUGACAGACAAUCACAAAAACAAGUUGACCUUUAUGUGUUCCUCAAACCCAGUCGUGAAGGGCCCUCGUGACUGGGUCUCAUGCCAAUCAACUCGUUAAAAAGAGCUGGGGUCCCAGACUGUGCCAAAGCUUCGUGAGACCUCUCCUUGUCUGUGCACGGAUGAGUAGUUAACUCUGGAGCCCAGAAGCUGUUGCUUCGUGGUCUGGUGGUGAGUCCUCCGUAGUCUGGUGAGUGUAGUGUCUGACUCUGGAGCCCAGGCUGUUGCUUCGUGGUCUGGUGGUGAGUCCUCCAUAGUCUGGUGAGUGUAGUGUCUGACUCUGGAGCCCAGGCUCUUGCUUCCCAGUCCGGUGGUGAAUCCUCCAUUGCCUGGUACUUGCAAAUAUCUUUUCC
rnacentral:lncRNA from 1 species